rnacentral:rRNA from 1 species
GGGCCCGCACAAGCGGUGGAGUAUGUGGUUUAAUUCGACGCAACGCGCAGAACCUUACCCAACCUUAACUUCCCGAGAACGGAAAGGAGACUUUCCGGUGCCAGUAAUGGAACUCGGUGAUAGGUGCUGCAUGGCUGUCGUCAGCUCGUGUCGUGAGAUGUUCGGUUAAGUCCGGUAACGAGCGCAACCCCUAUUCUUAGUUGCCAGCAGUUCGGCUGGGCACUCUAUGGAAACUGCCCGUGAUAAGCGGGAGGAAGGUGUGGAUGACGUCAAGUCCUCAUGGCCCUUACGGGUUGGGCUACACACGUGCUACAAUGGCAUCUACAGUGGGUUAAUCCCCAAAAGAUGUCUCAGUUCGGAUUGUCGUCUGCAACUCGACGGCAUGAAGUCGGAAUCGCUAG